GAUGAAGAACGUAGCGAAAUGCGAUACUUGGUGUGAAUUGCAGAAUCCCGUGAACCAUCGAGUCUUUGAACGCAAGUUGCGCCCGAAGCCAUUAGGCCGAGGGCACGCCUGCCUGGGCGUCACACGUCGUUGCCCCCCCAUCUACUCCUUCGGGAUUGCGGGGGGCGGAUGAUGGCCUCCCGUGCGCCUCGCCGCGCGGUUGGCAUAAAUGCCAAGUCCUCGGCGACGCACGCCACGACAAUCGGUGGUUGCGAAACCUCGGUUGCCCGUCGUGUGCGGUCGUCGCGCAUCGAGGGCUCGAAAAAAUUGCCCGGUUCCGGCUCGGCUUUCAACGCGACCCCAGGUCAGGCGGGGUUACCCGCUGAAUUUAAGCAUAUCAAUAAGCGGAGGA
rnacentral:misc_RNA from 1 species